rnacentral:rRNA from 1 species
AUGGACAUACGGCAUCUUCGCCCACAAGCACCUCAAGAGAAGAUCCCCAAGCUCAAGUCCGUGACUUCCACGAGCUACUACGACCUCGACAUUGACCAUGAGAUUCCUUUCUAUGGGACUCUCAAACCCGAGGAGUAUCUCGAGUGGGAGCGUUUGAUGGACGACUACCUCAAGCUACAUCAACUUCCUCCCAAAAAUCAAGUGAAGUGCACCACAAGGAACUUCCACAACUACGCGUCCACAUGGUGGCUUCACAUAUCUUCGGAGACCUACAACAUGAGUUGGCCCAAGACAAAGAGAGCUUUGUGGCGAGAGUUCGUGCCUCCAACCUACACGGAACAACUUCUACGCCAAUUGGAGAACACCACCCAGGGAUCCAAGUCCAUCGAUGGGCACUUCAAGGAGAUGAAGUUUGCCUUGCGACGAGCCGGCGUGGAGGACCCCAUUUCGAUGAAGUUCCACUUCAUGAUGGGAUUGCACAACGACAUCUCCAAGAAGAUCUUCCUCGAGAACUACAAGUCCCUCGACGACAACUACAUUGGUGCUCUCAAGGCGGAACAAGAACUCAUGAAGGCCAAGGGUUCUCGACUCCAAGCACACUUCUCUAAGACCAAGCUCCAAGAAGGAGAGCAUGAGCAUAGUACCACCAAGAUGUCCAACCCCGACGAGCUUCAAGACGAUGCUCCCAAGUUCGACUUCACCGCCAUCCCUCUUUGUGGCAUUGAUGAUGCCGAGUCCUCCAUUACUCUUUUUCAAGACGGUGCGGCGAUGAGUACGACUACGGAGACCCUCAAGGACCAAGCUUUGGAGGCGAGCGACAAGGUGGCAAGCAAGGAUGAUGCUUCCAUCUUAGGAGGCGAGAGUGAUGAUGUGCCAUCUUCGGCCUUCAUCCACGGUGAUGAUGACGAGAUGGUUGAGCAUGGGAUUUUCACUUCAACCAUGGCGACGUAUGAUGACUUGAGUGACUUUUGCCACCAUAUUGAGAGUGAGAGUGACUUCACCACUAUCCCCAUAUAUGAUGUGUUUCCACAAUUCCCAUGUGAGGAGAGCCACAACCCCCACCUCUUGAGUGAGAUGAGUGACUCCACCAUAUGUGAGUUUGAGCGCAACUAUUUUGAGGAAGUGAGUGAACCACCACAUAAAGAGAGUGAGAUAGUUGAUAGGUCAUGUGAGGCCACUUCCAACACUAACGACUUGACCUCUACCUCUAUUGUGUCUUCUCAUUUGGUGCUAGGUCCCAUAUAUGAUGACGCGCCAAUUCGUGACAAUUUCAUCCUCCCUUUGGACAAGAUGAUGGCCAUGGUGGAAUACGAUGGACCCCCCACAUGGUUCCAUCAAGAUGAUGAUAUUGACCACCAUUUGGUCUUACCCACCUCACCUACACCACUAGAGUGGAAUGAACAAGGUAACAUAGGUGAAUGUGACGCUCUAGUCCCACAAGUGGACAUUCUUGACAUUGAUUUCUUGCAUGAUGUUGAUCCACCUAUUUCCAUGAUUCAUGCUAGUGCGACUUCCUCAUGUGAUGAUUUGUUUCCCAUUUACGAUGAGUAUGAUGAUUCUCAUGUGGAGUCUAAUAGUUGUGAUGCCAUGUUGCAUAGGAUUUCUUGUGACAAUUCCUUAGGUCACAUCAUGUUUGCCAAUCCGCUUGACUUGUCAUAUGCUAUGCAUGAGAUCGACCAUAUGUCAUAUUUCCAAUCUCUUCAUAGUGUGCAUAUGCCUUUAAAAUUAACCCAAUCUGCACAUAUGGCAUAG